GACACAGUGAGGCUCACAGCCAUGGCGUAGCCUGUCAGCAGGAUCACAAUGACCAGCAGGAAGCCCACCACCUCAUCCCAGGCUUUGCCGGCGACCCUAAACAGACAGCACCGUCACUGCUGCUUGCCUAAACGGUUAGCUGCGUCUCUCCCUAAUGAAAUGUCAUGAACACAGGCAAAGUGCGCUCAGCUGGGGACUUGGAUCUGACCUGGGCACAAUGUUAUAGUCUCCGUUCUGCUCUGUAGUCGCUCAGAGCUGCUGCUUACGAAAAGGUGGCCUUCUCUAAUACAGCUUUCACUGGGUACAGUCAUUUUUCUCAUUGCUUAAACUUAAU